rnacentral:rRNA from 1 species
GUACACGCUGUGACUAGCAUAUCAAUAAGCGGAGGAAAAGAAACCUAACAAGGAUUCCCCUAGUAACGGCGAGUGAAGCGGGAAGAGCUCAAAUUUGAAAUCUUAAAGGGUUUCCCUUUACGAAUUGUAGUUUAAAGAAGCGUUUUCUGUUGAGGCUUUGGUAAAAGUUCUUUGGAAUAGGACAUCAUAGAGGGUGAGAAUCCCGUAUUUGACCUUUACUUUCAACUUUGUGAUACACUUUCAAAGAGUCGGAUUGUUUGGGAAUGCAGUCCAAAAUGGGUGGUAAAUUUCAUCUAAAGCUAAAUAUUGGCGAGAGACCGAUAGCGAACAAGUACCGUGAGGGAAAGAUGAAAAGAACUUUGAAAAGAGAGUUAAACAGUACGUGAAAUUGUCAAAAGGGAAGCGUUUGACACCAGUGUUGUUUUUCUGAAAAUCAAUUAAAGAACUGUUUAUGCUAAGCUGUUUAGACUUUAUCAGCUAUCUGUUUAGUUUUGAGCUUUUCUUUAAUGCACUUUUCAGUUAACAAGUCAACAUCAAUUUCUUUCGCUGUAAAAAAGCUUGAGGAAGGUGGCUUGAGAUUCGUCUUAAGUGUUUAUAGCCUCUUGCCUAUGCAGUCGGAGAGAUUGAGGUCUGCAGCGUAGAUCCUCGGGGCUAAAUGCAUUUGUGCUAAGUUAUAGCAUUUUAUAGACAACUUGUUGACUAUGAUUUGUCUUGUAGCUUACUCGCUUAUGUUAUUUUACCUACGCUUAGGAUGUUGAGUCGUAGAGCACGCAG